AACACAAUUGGUGAUUAUAUGCAUUUCGGAAUAGCCAACAAAGACAACUGGUUAAUUUUGAUUUGAUAAUGAACUAUACAGAAUCAUUAUUGCUAAGAACAUUAGUGCUGUUACUGAGAAAAGAUUGCAAAUUUGCGAUGACACUGAUUCCAAAUCAGAAAUGCAAGAAACUUUCGAAAUGUUGGCAGUCGGUAGUAGGCGUGGGGGGAAAAAAAAAGCAUAUGCUUCAAGUGGUCAUGGAUAAACCAGGAAAAAAAAAAACUUCAAGCAGUAAAGUAAGUAGUGGUUACACAUUUUUUGUGGCUUUGUGACUUUCAAAAUGACCCGAAUGUCUAAUUUUAGACUUCAGUAUCUUACUGUAUUUGAAAUGCGUAUGCAGUAAUGUCACCGGGUCACACUGACACAUUGGGAAUUUCUCCAUUGUGAGACAAAUAAAGGUUUUUUUAUCUUAUCUUAAAAGUUAAUGAAGAACAUUAAGAAAAAAAAAGGAUGACACAUAGUUGAAGUAUGAAACUUCUAUUUCAUUAAUAAGUGAAAUCAACAAGAUCAUUGUCCACCUCUGACAUUUGCAAUUUAGUAUUAGAAUUCAUAAACGAGUGUUUUCACACAAGUGGUGGUCGGAAUACCUCUCGUGGCAUGCGAAAGCAUCACUGCCAAUGACAGCUCAGUUGGAUUUAACUUUUUUUCCAAAACAUUAGCGUUUGGUCAAUUAGAAAUUUAUUUAGGCACCAUUUGUAACUUGUUUAUUUUUGGUGAAUCGCUACUUAAGUACAGUCUUAUUUUCUUGUACUUAAGCACGGUGCUAAUGCUCAAACUGUGUAUAAUGUUACAUUGGCUUCUAAAAUGCAAUCAUAUAAUAAUUAAAAAGGUGGUACUUUGCAUAAAAAAAGUUUUGCCAACAACUGAUAAACAAUAAAUACUGGGACUUUUCCCCAAAAAAUUUACCCUGGAAAACGAUAGUUGGUAAACGAAAUGUCGAGUUUUAAAUUCAGUAUAACACAAAAUCUGGAGGAACUUCUUGCGCCCGAAACUUUUGUGCUCUGGGAAUAAAAGAAAGUCUAGUGUGAAACGCCUGCUUCAAGUUUCGUUUCUCUGACACAACCACGAACACGACACACUCUACGGGCCACACAAGUGCCACACGUACGGUGACACGGACGUCCGACAACGGCACAGAAACGACGACAACGACAAGCUCAAUGGCCGCCACAACAAAGUGCUCAACGCCGGCCGCACAAUCGAUGCUUGCUCCCUUGACAGCUGACGGCCAAACCCCUCAAGAAAACACAACAACCCCGCCAGUAACAAACCUUGUGCUCCAAGUGAAUCCGAGCUGGAUAAUAAAAAUAAAAAUAAAUU